CACGUGAUAUCCUGUCUGAAUAUGGGGGGACCAUCCUCCAAGGCUAAAUACUACUGACUGACCGAUAGUGAACCAGUACCGUGAGGGAAAGGCGAAAAGAACCCCUGUGAGGGGAGUGAAAUAGAACCUGAAACCGUGUACGUACAAGCAGUAGGAGCACCUUCGUGGUGUGACUGCGUACCUUUUGUAUAAUGGGUCAGCGACUUAUAUUCAGUGGCAAGGUUAACCAUCUAGGGGAGCCGUAGGGAAACCGAGUCUUAACUGGGCGUU
rnacentral:rRNA from 1 species